ACGGGAGGCAGCAGUGAGGAGUAUUGGUCAAUGGGCGAAAGCCUGAACCAGCCAAGUCGCGUGAAGGAUGAAGGUAUUAUGUAUUGUAAACUUCUUUAGCAGCAGAGUAAUAAGGGGGUCGUGACCUCCGAUGCAAGUAUGCUGAAAAUAAGGAUCGGCUAACUCCGUGCCAGCAGCCGCGGUAAUACGGAGGAUCCGAGCGUUAUCCGGAUUUAUUGGGUUUAAAGGGUGCGCAGGCGGUUUUUUAAGUCAGUGGUUAAAUCGUGAGGCUCAACCUCAUCACGCCAUUGAUACUGGAAGACUUGAUUGCGGUUGAGGUUGGCGGAAUUCGCCGUGUAGCGGUGAAAUGCAUAGAUAUGGCGAAGAACUCCGAUUGCGUAGGCAGCUGACCAGGCCGUAAAUGACGCUCAUGCACGAAAGUGCGGGGAUCGAACAGGAUUAGAUACCCUGGUA
rnacentral:rRNA from 1 species